rnacentral:lncRNA from 1 species
GUCUGUCCCAGGAAGGUCAGCAGAAGCGGCUGCAGAGCUGCAGGAUGGCUGGCCUGGUUGACCUUGCUUCGGGGUACAGGCACAAUGAGAAGUAAAAGGGGCCAAUUUGGGAUGUAGCUGGCCCAGAGGAAGCUCUUAAUAAAUGGCAGUCACCAUGAUCCUACCACGUGGUGUGUUUUUGAGGGUCUUGUGUUGUUUGCGACAGCCAAUGUAUUAGUCGUAGUUCACUCUUUCCAUAGGUUCUUCUGUAUCUGCUGAAUAUUAGAAUUUAUUUACUUCUAGUAGGAGAGAAAAAUGAAAAUGGCAAAUCAGAUGGAAAAAUAGAGCUAUUUUCAGAGUAAAUUGAGCUCAGGAAGGAUUGCAGAGGUGUGAUGAAUCAGAGCUCACACAGUCACCUGGGGACACUUAAACGAUUUAAGGACCUGAAAGUACAGAACAGGUGGAUGAUUCAUGGAGGAAAAUCCCUGGGGAGAGGGAAGGGCUAUUUGGGGGGAUUUAAGGGGGAGGGGCUUUAGUUGCAGUUCCAGAAAAGGGCAGCAGCUGGGACCUUUUCCUCUUCCAGGCUCCUUACUCUCCAAAAAUACCUUGGCCUGAAGUCACUUGAGAGGUCUGGCAUUUCAUUUGAAUGAUUCUUUAGAAAUUUCCUGCUAAGCACAGAGUUCUGCAACUGUUUUGUUCUCCUUUCUGGAGCAUCUUUGAGGAUAAGAUGUGCAACCUUUUCAUCUUUGUGGGAGACAAGCUUAGCCCAGCCUCUGCGUACAGGAAUCCUAUGUCUUAAAUAUUUGAUCAAAGGAAGAAAUGAAGAAAAUGCAGAAGAGAGGAGGGAGCAAGGCCAAGUACAGGCAGCACGAGUGUGGGUGGUCAUGGGGGACAGUGGCAGACAUGGGAGACAUUGAGUUUCAUCACGCUUAGUGACGUUUUGUUGUACCCUUGAACUGUGUGUGCCACACUGUUGAGAGUGGCGUGUAGCUGAUGUGGAUUAAGACUGCCCCAGCUAGAGAAGCCCAAGGUGACCUGGCCUACAUGCCAAACUAUACGACCCAGUGGACUUUUUU